GAUAAACGCUGGCGGCGUGCCUAAUGCAUGCAAGUCGCACGGAGUGUCUUUUCGGAGGCAUUGAGUGGCGAACGGGUGAGGAACGCGUGGACAACCUACCCGGCGUGGGGAGUACCCGCCAGAAAUAGGCGGGCUAAUACCGCGUACGGUCCGAGGGGCGGACGGGCGUACCUGGAAGGAAAGACAGUGAUGCGCGCUGGGAGGGGUCGUGCGGCCGAUUAGCUCGUUGGCGGGGUAAGUGGCNCACCAAGGCGAUGAUCGGUAGCUGGUCUGAGAGGAUGAUCAGCCACACGGGGACUGAGACACGGCCCCGACUCCUACGGGAGGCAGCAG
rnacentral:rRNA from 1 species